UACUCCAUUAGGGCCACACCUUCUAGUAGUACCACUCCUGGGCUGAGCAUAUAUAAACAUCACAGAGGGCUUGUCUAUACUGCAUGGACUUGUGGGUUAAAUGAAUUGAUGUAUGAAAAUCCAGCCACCAUGGGCAACACCAUUCCCUAGGCAGGUGGUCCAGAACUGUGUAAGAGUAGAGAAAUUGAACUGAUUACAGACAGGCAUCCAGGAAUCCAGGAAUCCAUUUCUCUCUGUGCUUUUGAUGUAACUAGCUUUCUUGAGCUUCUGUCAUUGUGAGUUCCUCACAUUAAUGGACUUGUGACCUGGAAUUCUCAGUUACAAUAAGUCUUUUGUCCCCUAAGUUGCUUGGUACCAGAGUAUCUUUAUCACAGCAACAGAAAGGAAACUAAAACCGUGAGAGCCCCGAUCUGAAAAGUAAGGUGAAGAGAGACAGAAGAUGUCUCAACCUCUGGCCCUGACACAUGCAUAAACAGAUGAGUGGAGACUGCUCUCCUAGUGAAAGAUAAAUAAAUAAAGGAACAUUUGCAGGGUCAGAACAUUUGCUGGGCUCUGGGUAGCAUUUCCCAGUGUCAGGAAAACCUAGCAUCUGCUGGGUUUCAGUGAGGUUUUGAUGCGUGCCAUGGCUGAGCUGGGUCACUCAACCACUGUAACCUGGUUCCUUCAAGCCUGUUGUCAAGUUUGAGGGCACUGCCUUGCUCAUAUGGUCUUAGAUUCUACAUUGGGGCUACAUCUCUCGAUGGGACUUGUUCAGCCAACAGUGAACAGAAUCAUUUUGUACCCUGGAGGAGAAUGUAGACAGACUCUCCUGGCUAUUACAUGGUACUUAGCUGGCUUGGUCUAGACUUUGUGUUUCAGAGCAGGAAUUGAGGUUGGAAGAUGAUGGGAAGGGGUAGUUAUUCUUUAAAGUUUCAUUUGAAGAAUGGUGAGUGCUAGCAAAAGUCUUGAUCCAGAUUUCUUGUUUUUGUCAAACUGGGCAUCCAUUCUCAGGGUCAACAAAGGGUGUCCAUCGGAUGUCGGUGAAUACGAAAUUAUCACGAUAGUCUGAUUUUAGAGUCCUGAAGGUGGCUUUGGUCUCUUUUGUGCAUCCCUUCCCUUAAGUCUCAUGGAAGGUGCUAUUCAUCACAGCUCUUACUGCUGGCACAGAGCUCUGUCUCCUCUCUCUUCAUGUCAAUUGUAGUGUUGCUCUGAUCACACCCCUGAUGGUCACAGUAUGUGGUCCAGGACUCCUUCCCCAGAAUCGAGAAGACUCCAACUGCGCACCCAAGCUAGGAGUCAGUAUUUGGUAAAAGACAGAGCAGUAGAGACAGGAUUUUUGAAGGUUGAUUGUCUUUUCGAUUAACAAUUCAAAAUCAUGACAUAUGUGUCUAAGAGAUAUUCCUCUCCCAAACAAAACAAACAGAUCCAAGGAGUGGGAGGCUGGUGGUGAUCACAGCUCUGUGCAAAGCGUCAUUUACUGACAGGGUAACGUUGUGUCUCAGUAAUAGGCCAUUUUCCCCAUCGCUGCACAGAGCUAACCAACCUCCACUUUGCAUCUAAGUUUUCAUCUCUGGAUCUCGGGCCAUACUGUCCCCACCUUCAGGAGUUCUGCUGUGUCUGCUUCCAAAAGAUCCCCCUAGUCCGUCCUGUUGGCUGUUGACCUUCCCUUACAGAAGGAAAGGAUGGAGAGGGCUGCAGAUUACCCACGCCUGAGAAUCCAGCUUCCUGUCUCAACCUGUCUCGAUGCCAGCCUAUGGGAUGGUGCCACCUACACUGAGUGGAUCUUCCUUCCUCAUUUAAAUGUCUACGAAAGAACCCUCAUAGACCCAGAGGUGCCUCCCUUGUGACUCCAAAUGCAACUAAGGUGACAAUCAAUAUUAAGCAUUGUAGGAUGCUUGUGUAUAUCCACACCGUUUCUAAUAUUGCUACAUAGCUGCCUUAGAAUCCUUUCUCCAGCCCAGAAAUUAAGAGUCAGCCCCAUGCUUUAUUCUGCUUUAAGUGAUCCAUCUGUGGUUCAUUGCCUUUGCUAACUGUAUAUACGGUUAGAGCUGUCUUCAUCCAUUUACUCUUUCCCUAACAAAUACCCAAGACCAGGCAUAUUAUAAAGAGAAGACUCCUCCGCUGAACAGAGGACUGGGAACAUAGUGAGGGCUCAAUCUAUUGUAUUUUCCAAGAACAUCAGCUGAACAAACCAGAGACUGGAAGCAAGCAGCUGGAGUGGUGGAGUUAGGAACGCAAACCUGCCCAGCUCAGCAGACAGCUACCAGUUCUCACCGUACCAAAGCGAACCAUGUAGCAGUCUCCUGGGCAGUGAGGUCAAGUUCUCUGCACCAUGGAGGAGCUCCGGCCCCAGACUCCCCUGAGUACCUGCCGAAGAGAGAAGAGAGAUUCGUCUACCCUGAGCCUCCCGAGUCCGUGCAGGGGCAUAAUGAAGGGAGACAGGAUUCAUGCGCUCUGGAGCUGUUCCUCUCUGUCUGUGCCAAAGUUCUUGGGUGUAUGUGUGGUGCGAGCCUGCCGCUCUCAUUUGCAGCCAUUGUUCUCUCUAAAUGAGAAAAUGCAAAUGAGGCACUCAGGGUAUUGCGCCAUAACUCGCUGCAUAAAAUUCUUGACAUCAACACGAAGCUACUUAGCAUAAUUUCCCUGUUAAUAAACUGCCAAUUUAGUCAUUUAGGUUUCGGCUUCAAAAAGAAGCAACAGUGUCAGGCUGUAGAUUUUUUUCCCCUCCCCAAACAUGCCUGAGUUUAUUAUUUUGAUGUUUAUGUUAAAACAUAGGAAAUUGGAGUUUACGCAAUUAUUUGGGAAUCUUCUACCCUAAUUUGUUUGCUUUCAUAGUUCUGAAAAUCUUUGCUCAUUUGAAAGGCAAAAUGUAGGUGUGUUUUUUUUUUUUUCCCCAAAGCACUUUAUUCUGUUUGGGAUAAAAUUUCCAUAUUUAAAAUGACUGAGAACCAUUUUGAGGGUUUGACUGAAUAGAGUCUAGGCUUAAGGAGCUGAGAUAGGGCCAUUCCUGCUGUGAAUCCAUGCAGAGACCUGUAAGGAGAUGGGUCAAUUCAAGCCCUUGAGGGGCAUGGAGCUACAGGUUGGCAUAGGGCUCUUGUCUCUGCCAUGUCUUACAGCCCCUAAGCUAUCCAUCCACGUCUGUCUACCCUGCAAUGGUUAUCUACGGUCUGCUUACCACGCACCAGUCAUUGAGAGCAUGCCAGGGCAGCACAUGCCCAAACAGGGAGCAGAUGCCACGAAGGGUAUCAGUAUCACGCAGCCACACGGAGCAGGAGCGGCACAUGGAAGGGAAACUGAGGACCUGACUGGAUUCCUGCCUUCAAAAACCUCACAGCAGAGGUUGAGAGGUUUGGCAGAAGUUUUUAUGGAGCGCAGCUCACUUGCCACGUUUUUCUGCGUUGUUAAGCUGCCGGGAGGUGUAGACUCAGCCUAAUUAGGAACGACAUGCAGUGGGCUUUUAGCAGCUGUCCUGGGCCAGACACUGUUCAGCCACCCGCUAAUAUAAAGCUCUCUCAGUUUGGCGUGAGGUGACUGACUGGGCUUCUGAGCCAGCCUGCCAGAAUCUGGGCUAUGCUGCUUGCCAUACCUGCGCUCACCCAUUGAUAAAGUGGACCAUGCUUUUACUGGUCUUUGCAUCUAGGCUGGUGCUGGGUCCACACUGUGUCUAAUCUAGAUGGGAGGUUUUGUGGUGCUGCCUCUGCCCAUGUCAUCACUAUGAGUCCCCAGCCUGGAGUCUUGCUGGGUCUCUGGAGCUGUAUGCAGUGACUUACUUCUUCUGUGGGCACAUGGGCAAAAGCCUAGGAGAAGCCAAUGUCCCUGUCCACCACCUUGUUACUGUGUCUCUGGUAUUCUACCUGGUAAGGCAUCCGGUGCCUGAUGGGGCUGGACUGUGGGAGUUCCCAUGCCUCAUUACCACCAUCAAACACCCAACCAGAAGCAGCAUAAGGGAAGAAGACCUUGUUUUGGCUCGCAGUUUGAGAGAAUCCAGUCCACCAUGGAGGGGAAGGCAUGGCAACUGGUGGCUCCGAGGUGGCAGGAGUGUGCAGCUGGGCCACUUAAUUUCAUAUCUGGGUAGAAAAGGAGAAUGUGGACAGGAAGUGGGGCCCAAACCUUGUGACCCUCUUCCUGUAGCAAGGCUUCAGCUCUUAAGAGUUCUUCUGAAACAGCGCCAUUAGUCAGGGACCAAGAGUUCAAAAUGCAGGAGCCUGGGAAGGAGAAAAGGGAUUUCAAACCAACAAAAAGCCAACAGGUCUUGGCCAUAGCUCUAGCUCUGUCCCUGACUUCAGUUUGGGGGAGAGAGAGAGAGAGAACACAUGUUUCCUAGCUUGUAUGUUUCUUCUCUGAAGUCUUCAGAUCUCAUUCAGGCAGAGACCUAAGAUACACUGUUCUCUGUCACUGCACUGUUCUCUGUCACUGAACUGUUCCCUGUCACUGCACUGUUCUCUGUCACUGCACUAUUCCCUGUCACUGCACUGUUCCCUGUCACUGCACUGUUCCCUGUCACUGCACACUGUUCCCUGUCACUGCCCACUAGGACCCAGCUGUUUGGUUCAUGCAGCCAGAUGAAAGCUUGCUGGUUGGAGGGUAUAUUGGCCCAAACAGGGCUGUUAUGGAAAUAGAGGACUUUCCUUGUGGGGGAGGGUAAGGCUGCCUGAUAGCCACCCAAAAUGUGUGGUUCCUUGGCUCAUUGUAUGAAUCCUUUCUUCUUGGGGAUCCUGUAUGUCUGUGGGAUUUUGUGCCCCUUUGACUUUUAUCUGUAUCCCCAUUAUGGAUGGCUGUCUAUGGCACAAAGUUGCAUCAAUGAGUUCUGGACCUGUCCAGAGGUCAGUAAGACCAGAAUAGUUUCCCACCCACAAACUAUUACAUUUGUUAUAAUAAUUAGUGGGGUUGUAAUUAUCACAUAAAUUUUAAAAUAAAACUGAA